GGGCACUCACACGUCAAUCUCGUUCUUUCUUUUCAGAGCUCUCACCCGGUGAAGGGAGACAGCUAAGGCCCAGAGAGGCCAAAUGCUCGAAGGGUUCCGAAAGUGGCUUGUGUCCCAAAAUUUUACAACCUGUGUGUGGGACUGAUGGCCAUACUUAUUAUAACGAGUGUUUACUCUGUAUUGAAAACAAGUAA